AGUGAACGCUGGCGGUAGGCCUAACACAUGCAAGUCGAACGGCAGCACAGUAAGAUCUUGCUCUUACGGGUGGCGAGUGGCGGACGGGUGAGGAAUACAUCGGAAUCUACUUUUUCGUGGGUGAUAACGGAGGGAAACUUACGCUAAUACCGCAUACGACCUACGGGUUAAAGCAGGGGAGCUUCGGACCUUGCGCGAUUGAAUGAGCCGAUGUCGGAUUAGCUAGUUGGCGGGGUAAAGGCCCACCAAGGCGACGAUCCGUAGCUGGUCUGAGAGGAUGAUCAGCCACACUGGAACUGAGACACGGUCCAGACUCCUACGGGAGGCAGCAGUGGGGAAUAUUGGACAAUGGGCGCAAGCCUGAUCCAGCCAUACCGAGUGGGUGAAGAAGGCCUUCGGGUUGUAAAGCCCUUUUGUUGGGAAAGAAAAGCAGCAGGUUAAUACCCCGCUGUUCUGACGGUACCCAAAGAAUAAGCACCGGCUAACUUCGUG
rnacentral:rRNA from 1 species